AGUACCAGCAGCUAAAUAUAGGCUGCUCCCCCACACUGCCUUACCCCACACCACGGAGGCAAGACCCCUGAGAACAUGAGAGUGCACAUACACUGCGUGUGAGUCCACUUAUAAAGAGACACCUCAGCAAGAGACAGUCACAACUCAGAGACAGGAAGAGAGUGUGCACAAAACAUGCUUCAUUAACCCUCUCCUGCAGUGUCUGACUGAAGGAAAUUAAAUAUCAGGGCAAAUCCGACAGUGGAUUAGCACCCCAGAGGGUUGCGGCCAUACCUGACCAUAGGACACUGCCCCCCUGUGACAGCUGAAGGAGGCCAAUAUGAGAACAUGGUAAAAGGCACUGGAAAGACCUGGGAAUCCAUAAGUGAUGAUGAAAUGACCCUGACCUCAGCCGCCUCCUAUGCGAUAAAUCUAAAUGAAGGGCAGAGCCAGGUAGCCAGAGGGGGUGCUGCUUCCCAAGUGGUGGAGAUGGCUGACAUCAGCGACACAGCAGGAGAGGUAGGAUACUUCGCUCAGGAAGUACAGAACAUGUUGGACACUCCCCAAAGACUAAUGUUGCAUUCUCCCAUCUAGAUUCACAUCCAUCUCAAGUAGAUGAAAUUAUCUCGCAAAUACCGGGUUCCCUUUGGACCAAAGAUGGACAGGACGCUGGAUUAAUGGCUAAUGUAGCACCCAUAGUAAUCCAAUUAAAAGACUGUAGGACAGCUCCAAGAAUACUACAGUACCCCCUGAAGCCAGAAGUGGAAUCAGGGGUUUAUCCUGCAAUCGAAAGGCUGCUCGAACCGGGAAAUCUAAUCAGAACUUCCAGCACAGAUAUUGUCCCAUCUUUCCAGUAAAGAAAAGUGGGGGGAGGGGCUCCAGGCUAGUGCAGGGUUUAAUAAGGGCAAACAAAUUAGUGGAGAGCCAAUUCCCUGUAGUGCCUAAUCCAGCUGUCAUCCUGAUGCAAAUUCCUCCUCACUCUACCCACUUUACUGUAAUUGACCUUUGUUCCGUUUUUUUUUUUCUAUCCUACUUCACCCUGACAGCCAGUAUCUGUUUGCCUUUUCCUAUAGAGGUGUACAGUAUACCUGGACCCGCUUUUGAACACCCAGAGAUUGCAAAAUUUGUGUUCCCCACAUGAAAAGAUGGUCUGGAAGGUGAAGGGAUAUGGUCAAGAGUCGUCCGGACUCUGGAGAGAUGGGCAAGGUAAGCCAGUGGCUCCCAAAGCAUAUCUCCCCAGCCUAGAUGAAGCAGCACACGGUCUGACUCACCUGGGCAAGGAAGGAAUAUGCAGACUAGUGGGAGCCUAUUGGAGUGCACCAGCACUCUCUUCUCAGGUGAGCAGGAAAGCCAUGUCAUGUCUUACUUACCUAGGGAAGAACAUUGGUAAGGCAGUACCAACAGAGCCAUCCCAUAUCCCUUCUGCAGACGGUCCUUUUCAGGUAAUAAAAAAUUGACUUUAUACAGCUACCACCCUGCAGAAGUUUGAAAUAUGUGUUAGUUUGUAUUGAUAUUGGGUAGAGGCAUUCCCAGCUGCCUCUAACACCGCUGUCUUCACUACCAAGAACAUAGUGCAAGAAUUUGUAUGUAGAUAUGGUAUCCCUAGGAUUAUUGAAAGUCAUAGGAGUAACCCACUUCACGGGGGAGGUCUUUCAGGCCAUGAGCAAACUGCUGGGGAUUGAUAGCUAGUGCAAUGGUGGAGAGAGUGAAUAGUACUAGCAAGUGCAAAUUGAGCAAAGUGAUGACUGGAACUGGACUACUGUGGCCAGAGGCGCUGCCACUGGUGUUGUAUAGCAUCAGGACCACUCCCAGGGCUACUCUCAAUUUAUCACCUUUUGAAAUUCUUUUUGUGAGGCAACCCAUGUGAUGAUAGAUCCUCAGGACAAGUUAAAAUGCAACAACGAGGUGACAGUUCAAUACCUCAUAAAAAUGAAUAAGCACUUGAGAGAACAGCAAAAGAAUUUAAAACUGUUGAUUCCAGAUAUGCCAAAUUCAAACUGCCAGGAUAUCGAACCAGGGUGUGGUGAUUCGAAAUGUUUUUAUGCUCAGGUUGUUUGAUAGACCAUUGGAAAGGAUCGUAACAAGUUUUGUUAACCAGCACCACUUCAUUGAAAGUAGCAGAGAGAUAGACUUGGGUCCAUUCGUCUCAUUAGGAGAAGAGAGAGAGAGAUUCGAAAUGCCCUAUGGUGGUGCACACAUAUAAGUGUUAAAAUAUAACUUUUAUUAUAAUAUAUAGUAAAACCAGCGAAUAUUAAAAGGAAAGUAGAAUAGUGUAAAUAGAAGGGAAAUCGUGAUUAAAAUAAGAAUUCUGCGCACUAGACGUCACUGGAUUGGCUCGUAUGAUGAUAUUAUUGUGUAUUAAAGUUUGAGGAUAAUCAAGAGUGUCCUUUUAUUCGUAUACUAUAAGUAUAAAGUUUCUGUAUGGUCGUCCGUUAUCUAUAUCUCAUAUUCACGCUGUUAUUCUUCUAGCCAUUAAUGGAACUCAUAAAAAUCGAAACAAUAACAAACGUAUUAAUUUUCUUAUCCU